GCGUCGGGGGCGGACAGGAGCAGGCAUGCACGGGGAUCGCCUUGCCGGGAGCUGGCGGGGCGGCCGAGAGGGUCCCAGCCAUGGGGCGGAGGUGGUGCAGACCCCACAGGUGCCCGGGGACCUGCAGGCAGCGGUCUGGGGACAGGAACACAGCGGGCAUACACUCCCCCGGGAUGGUGCUGGCCACAGCGAGAGCCGCCAUGGGGUGUCAGUGCCCAAGCUCAGACACAGCCCUUUGCACUCCCUUCUCUACGUGCCUCUGUCGCCUGUGGCUGUGGGACAGGGAGAGCUGCCCUGGGCUCUUAGCUUUCCUUCCUUCAUCAUUCUAAAACUGGUGACUGACAGCUGGUGAAGACCAACCUUGCCUGGCAGUUCCCUCUUCCUUGGCUGGUCCUUCCACACCAUGGAGAUGAGCAGGCAUUUUGGUCACCUCUCAUUGUCAGCACUUUUGUGAUAUACCUGAUUAAUUAUUGGGAUUUUAAACCCCAUUAUCUACCAAAGUCCUUUCCCCAUUGCCAGAGCCCUCAGCUGCCCCUUCCCCAUGAGCCAGCUCAGCUCAUUCUGCUCAUUCCUUCCUAUUCCUGUUGUUCAGAUCAGAGAGAGAUUUCCCCAGCCUGAGAGAAAUAGGGGCUAGAAGCUCACACAUGGUUAUAAUCCAAUUAUACUUCAGAAAACUGCAGUGACAGAAAGCUGGUGCUGGUGGGAUGCUGUCCUUUUGUCCGAGUGCCCGCACAGAAUAUUGCAUUACAGCUUACCCCCAGAGUGGUGGCACUGGAAAGGCUGAUAUUUAUAGACUGUGGAAGGCUGUGAAUUUGUUUAGAAGACCCAUUGCAUUGGGCAGAAUGCUGGAUGCUCUGCUGUGGCUGUUUUGUGGGCUUUUCUCUGUUACUGGGUUGUUUCUACACAAAGACAGGAGCCUGAGUGUCCUGCUCUCGUGGGGAGGGAGAGGGAGGAGGUGACAAGCACGAUGUUCAUGUGAAUGUGCAGGUCUUGGCUGUGAUGUGGUGCUGGGCAAGAGACCCCUGGCUCGGGCUGAAACUCAGGAUGAGAGCAAGAGGCAGCAGUGCAGGCAGCAGCGCCAGCCCUGGGAGGACAGGAGGGAUCACAGCUGAAUUCUGGUGUCGAAGUGAAAUGCUCAGGCUGCGUGCCAGAGCUUUGCACCCAGGACACUGAAUUUCUCUGUCAGCCUGGUGGCUUAUUUGAUGUUUCUCUCCAUAAAACCCACCUGACAGCCCAUGGACUGCCCUGGGUUUGUAGGAGGCUCUCCCUGCACUGGGCAGUGAAGAGGCCAGGGCAGCUCUCACUCCUCCAACGGGGCAGGGCCUCAUGUUUGAUCUUCCAUUCAAAUUAGCCGUGCUCAGGGUGACUGGGUGCUUCAUCCACAUGAGCUGUGGCGAGUAAAUAAACAAGGCUCUGCUUUCAAAGGUUUUCACAAUUCAUUAACUUCAAAGGAACGGCUCUCUAUUUUCUUAGCAGGUCAGUCAUUCCACAGACUUACUCUGGGUGCUGAAGGUGGUUCUGCUCAUGCCAGAACGCUGGAGCAGCUGCAGGGCGCAGUGUCACACACAGAGCUGUGGCGAGGGGCACAGGGACAGUCCAUGGUCAGCGUUAUGCCUAAGGAGGAGAACAGGGAGCUUUUGUGCCUUCCCGAGGCCUUUGCCAGGUGUGGUGCACUGGAGGGAACUGGUUUCCCAUCACAGGAUCCAUCCCACACUGCGGAUCAGCUCGGACCUGGCUCCAUCCCUCCUUUCCUCGCCCACCAGACCGACAGGCUGGGGCAGCGCCACGUGCAGAUGGAUCGCCCCAAACCCAGCUGCGCUAGCCACGGCAGUCACCGAGGGCGGAACCGGUGCGAUGGCAGCUGGAAACAGCCGCAGUGCGCCGGGCAGCCGCGGUCCCCUCGGUCCGAGCGCCGCGCGGGCGGGAGCGCGGCCAGCACCCCGCGCAGACGGGCUGACACUCGGCAGGCCUGCGGAAAAACACGCCGUGACAUCACGCAGAGACACCAGCCCACUGAUUAAUCUCCGAGACCCACCUGGGAGCCUGCUUGCCAGAAGGAGAAAUGGCACAAGAGGAAAUACAUCUUCACAGCCUCGAGAGAGGAGAAGGCUGGAAUCUGAGUCCAUAAACAGCAGUGCUGUGCAGUGAGCAAAGACAGAGCAGGUUGGGCUCUGGAGAGUGUAACCCCACCUCUGCUGCUCCACUGCCAAUUAAAAUAAAGAAGUGUAACCUGUUUGUUUUCCCCUCUCAGACUGGGGAUGCCGUGCAAGGAAAA